UACAGAAGGCAGUAUGAAGAGGCAACUUAGCAAUGAGCUGGGGAGACAGCAGGACACUGACUUAAGCAGCAAACCUGAAGGCUGUGGACCAGUCUUGCGAAGCCUCCCAGAUGAUGGAUCCUGCUGGCGAGCUGACUCUUUCAAGGCUUUUGUAGAAAGAAAUUGCCAAAGGAAAUGAGAUCACAAAAGGAGCAAUAAAAAUGUUCACAUUCCCUAGAAGCGGAGAUGUUUCUUAUUAGUAACUUGGUGUUUGUCUCUGAUAACACAUGGAGAAUGCCUCAUACCUGUGCAGUUCAGAAGAGGUUCAGUGUUGAUGGAACUCCAGGACUCACCCUUCAACUCAGACUAUCAGAGGAACUCUUCCAAAACAAGAAGUGUUUUAUGAAUAGAUGAAUAGUAGUGAAGCAAUCUGAAAUGACUACUUUGUGUCCUUUAGUGAAAAUUCUUGCAUGUUUCAUUGUCAUUCAUGAGUCCUUUGGGGUGAACUUGAUAAGACAAAAAACUGCUUGAAGAAGGAAGAAGUUUCUUAUUUUCCUUCAAUUUUCUUCUUUAUAAUGGAAACAUUGAUCAGGGAGUUGGGAGUGUUUAGGUGAGAAGGGUGCAGUAGAGUUUAUUUGAUGCACUACAGUUAUAAGCAAAAAUUAAAAAAAAAUCAUGAAGCACACCCUUAAAAUGUAGGAAUUUAUUUCAGACUCCACAUACCCAUCUUUUUAGUCAAAGGGUGUCUGGAAAGAAAUGGAAACUUUAUAUGCAGGUAUAACCACGAGUCGUUCUGUACACUACCCCUUUCUUGCCGCAAGAGGGUAAUGUAGAGGCACCUUUCGUUCAUUAAGAAUGGGUUCUUUUAUAGAAAAUAAAUGCUUUACCUUCAAUUAACUGUGGAGCCCUUAAUGUCCCAGAUGAACUGAAGAACAUAUAUUUAACAACCGCAUGACUUGAUCAGCUAUGCCAGGGGAGUGGAUGGAACAUCUGGGACUCCCUCCCUGCAAAUAUACCCAGAGUUCCUUCACUGAAAGUGAAUGUGUGAGGGUAAAAGGUGAAUGGUGCAAACUCUCCUGAUAUGCCAUGAAGGGAGGUGGAAGAUGCUUCAGGGCCCCAGAGGUUUGUUGUAGAUCUUGGGAUUUCUGUUGGUCUAGUGACUUUUGACAGAUGCGCAAUAAUAUAUAUGCAGCUGUGCUAAGUUGCACUGGGAAGGAGGUAAAACCCUCUGGUUUGGGGCUGGAAUGACCGAGCAUGAGCAACAGGGAAUGAAUGGAGAUGAGUGGUUGAGUAAGAAGACCAGAGUUCAGUGGGAAGAACUACAAUAUAUAUAUCAAAAAGUCUGUGGUAACCAGCUGGUGGAAGCAACACAGAUUUUGAAGAAGAGUUCAGGGCAGAGAGGUGUGGGAUGAGAUCACAAGGUAAGGAAUGAAACAAACUGUGUGAGGAAUCUAGCAGAAGAAUGAUCAACUGGGAACAAGGAUGGUGCGAUUUCCAGUGUAGGAGGGAAGAAACAGGUAAGAUGAAUCUUGAGUGUUUGACCCUGGCUAAUGACUUGCUCUAGAAGUUGUUUAAGAGCUGUAGGCUAAUGAGGAGGCUGUCUAGGAAGGGCAGAGGAACUGACCUGAAAAGUUUUGAGCUUUGGACGCUGGGCUGGUAUAGACAAGUAAUUAGAGUUCAGAUGUAAGGGACAGAAAGAAGACUGGUAGAAGUGUGGCAGAAGGUUUCCAGUUUGGGACGGGAAUUGGGAGUUUCAGAAACUCCUCUUCAGGCUUCAGAAACUGGUCGGGGUCCAAGGAUUUCUGAUCUCAUCACCUCUGUAAAGCUGUAAAUAAUCAGGCAAGUAGCAACAGAGGCUGCUAACCUGAAUUGAGUCCCUUGGUGAAGUCACUCCAGUGAACAUAAAUACUCAUUUGUUGGGGAACAAUGCUAAAGUUAGGUGUUUGGUUUUAGUGUUCUGUUUUAUAACAAAACCUAACUAUUCUGUUAGGAAAAGCCUGUGAGAAAGCGUCUUCAAACAUGUCAAAAGCAGCGGCUGACUAUUUGCAGCAGUGAUAAUGAUCUGCAAUUUGGAAGGAGAACAGAAUGUUAACCAGCAAGGCUGCUGAGUACUGUCAUCUGAUCAGGGCUGGGGUCUUGUGACAAAAAUAGUAUGUGACCACGUAAUUAAAGGCUCCCAUAACGCACAUGCUCAGAACGGGUGAAGAGGCAAUCAUGAUGAGUGCGUAUUAUGUAUGACACUGCUGCAGCCUUGUUAGUGCUUCCAGUCAGAUGAGAAAUGAACAUUAACCAAGGCAAUGAAUGGGAACCUUCUGACUGAAUUCAUCUUAAGAGGCAAAAGAGAAAACCACUUUUUUUUUUUUCUACUAGUCAUCUUGAAUGAAUAAUAGUAAUCAGCAGCUAUUCUACAAGGCUGAUGCAUUCUUGCAGAAUGAAAGGAAAAAGCCUUACCCUGAAAGAGAUUUGGGGGCUUCUGCUUUACUUGGAAACAUGCAGCCCAUCCACAGCUGGGACUGGGGAUAAGAGGCUUUGUCAGUGGAGUCCAUGAGGUUCAGAGGGUCUCACACUGCUCUCACAGGCUGGAGCCUCAGAAGUCCUCAGGUGUGAGGCAUUACCUGUUGGUGAGAGAGGAGGAGGACAGAAGCCAAGAGGCACCAGCUCUGCCCAGUUACUGGAGGUGUAGUCUAUAAACUGCCACAAAGGGGCAGGAUUUACUUAUUUUUCAUAUGCAGCCCACUCGGAGACUUCAUCUUGGGCUCGUCCAUCCGUAAACACAAUGGAGAUUCGAGGGACAUUUGCUGAAAAUGGUCUUGCUCCUUCUGUUUCUGUGAAGCUUCUCUCAAACAUUUGCUUCAGAGCCAGUCCUGUCAUGGAACCUCGCCCCAUGUACUUCAUUUGCGAUACAGCUUUCUUCAUGUCUUUGGCUGAGCUGAACUGCCUUAAUGUAAACUCUGUGCGAACUUCAGUGGAAUACUGAAGCAAACCAACUCGAGCAGCUUUGGGUGAAAUUUCAAGUGAAUCCAAGAUUCCUGAGACAAAUUGUUUUACAAUUUCAAAAUUAUCCUCUCCAAGACUUUUUGAUCCAUCAAUCACAAACACCAGGUCAACUGGGCCUUCAGUGCAUCCUGUGAAAUAAGCAGCAGAGUGUUCAGAUCAUGAAAAAACUCCACAAAGCUGAAAAAGGGACCUAGGUAACCAGGGACUGUAUAAACUUAGAGAUCACCUGAGUUUCUGGCUCAUCCAACUUUGCCAGUGUGUCUAAAGAUGUUGUGUACAGUCUAUAUCAAAAGCUAAGAGUGUGCCUAUAACCAAGAGUUUAACAAAAAUAUAAUCACAGUGAAUACGUACUGAGACAUACUGCUUCGCAGAAUACUACAACUCUUAAAAAUACAGCAACAAUCAGCAAAUUUUAAGAAUGACUGUUAAGUGGAGAGAAUUGCGUAACUGAAGAACAUAGCUAGGAUAUAGAGACAGCUGCCAUCAUUUUCUUUCAGGGAUAGGCCAGUAUGCUAACUUUACAUUUGUGUAGAUGACCAGCACUAAAAGACAUGGAAGAGAAUCAUUGGAGCUGCAUUUGUGUUGCAGAAGUAGCAAAAAGGUGAAGGUGGUACAAAGAAAUGAGUCAGUGAAACCACACUUGUAUAUAAGGUGAAAAUCUAGGAGUCAUAUUUAGAGUGGCAGGAAACAGUGAGGCAAAAGCCAAAGAGCCUGGGGAAGGCUGAGCGAGAAGAGAAGGGUUAGGCAGCCUGUCCUAGGGCGUAGGAUGAGGGUCAAGUCUGGGGACAAAAUUCAGACAAUGCACAUGUUUUUAUAGCACAAACUUAAACCUGUAGUGGCAGAAAAACAGCUAAAAAACUAUAGGUGAGAGAGUAAAUGCUAGAAAAGUGCCUAGCUGCUAAACAUGGAUCAGAGUUGUUUAUAUAAGUUUUUUUGCUUGUAACUCUCUAACAGUCUUGUAAUUAGAAGGCUUAUGUAUUGCUGAAAUUAACCUUUUCUGGUUUACCCAUUAAAGCUGGGAGUUUGUCAGGAGACUGACAAAUUUGGAGUUCUCAUACUUUUUGGCGAGUGCACACACAAAAAUCAAAGCAGUUUGUAGGCACUGUGCAUCCAUGACAAGGUUAGGGAAUUUAGGGACUGGAGAAUAUCUUUGAAGCUGCAGACUGGUUCUGCCAGGUGUUUUUUUAUUCUGGAAAGCAAUUGCCUCCAGCAGGCAUAGACUAGUGCACUUUGUGCAAGGGGCUGGCUGCAGAGAUUCUCAGCUCCUAUUUGAUCAAUAUAACUUCCAGGGAGAAUUUGCCAUACUAAGGAAUGUAAGAUUUGCAUCUUAGUCUGGAGCAAAUGAACUUUGACCUCCACUCAUCUCUGAUGUUUGUAUAGUAAGAACGCUGUAAGCGCUAUACAAGAGAGAACUGUGCAGCAGAAAUUACUUUGACUGCAGAAAUUACUGUUACCAAGUCAGUGUAGGAGUAAGGAAUUUUCAGCUUUAAAGCUUGGGCUUUUCUUCUUAGACUGUAGCUCAGUUUUAAAACUGCUGUCCAAGAAUUCCUUUCUGCAGUCAUCUGAGGAAAAGAUGUGUCACACAUACUAAGGCAAUGGAAAUGCAAUGAAUACAAAUAUCAGAACCACCUCAAUAUCAUUGCGUAAGUCAAGAUAGGGCAGCAGUUCAUGGUGAAUGGUUUUAGUUAGGAUUGAGAUCAGCCAUGAACAUGUUACCAUUCUUUUGGUAAUAACAGUCUCCCCAACUAAGGCAUCCAUUUUUGCAGAAUAAAUGUUUUUACUGAGUUCCAGUAGAAGAAUUUCUCUUCCAAGUAUUAAGGGGUGAUGAGAUAAAUGCAUGUCAUACUCUAAGCAUGUCAUGUUGGAAGAUAAGCAAAUAGAAUUAAUCAUAUUUUAAAAUGGAGUAUAUAAAGAUAAAAGCUUCACAAUAUAUGAAUCUGAUUAAAGUGCACACUCCUUGAUAAUCAGAUUUCACUUUGGCUUUUUUCCUGAUGUUUGGAAAGAAUUAUUAUUGUACUUGGUGCAACACCAAAACAACUGUUCCAGUUUGUUAGUUUUUUGCUUAUGAGAGCAUCAAGUUAAUUGUUCAAGACAUUUUGCAUCACACUCACAUAUGCCUUGGGCUUUCAAAUAUCAUACCAUUUUUGAAGUGAGGCAUUUUUUGAAGUGAGGCGUUUGAAGUGAGGUCAAGUAAUUUUAGAAAUCAAGCAAACAAAUGCUUUCUAAAUAAAAUGUACUUACUUCUGCA